rnacentral:rRNA from 1 species
UACGUAGGGUGCAAGCGUUGUCCGGAAUUAUUGGGCGUAAAGAGCUCGUAGGCGGUCUGUCGCGUCUGCUGUGAAAACUCAGGGCUUAACCCUGAGCUUGCAGUGGGUACGGGCAGACUAGAGUGUGGUAGGGGAGAUCGGAAUUCCUGGUGUAGCGGUGGAAUGCGCAGAUAUCAGGAGGAACACCGGGUGGCGAAGGCGGAUCUCUGGGCCAUAACUGACGCUGAGGAGCGAAAGCAUGGGGAGCGAACAGG